rnacentral:rRNA from 1 species
GACGAACGCUGGCGGCGUGCUUAACACAUGCAAGUCGAGCGGUAAGGCCCUUCGGGUACACGAGCGGCGAACGGGUGAGUAACACGUGGGUGACCUGCCUCUAGCUCUGGGAUAAGCCUGGGAAACUGGGUCUAAUACCGGAUAUGACUCCACGGCGCAUGUUGUGGGGUGGAAAGCCUUGUGUGGCUAGAGAUGGGCCCGCGGCCUAUCAGCUUGUUGGUGGGGUGAUGGCCACC